rnacentral:lncRNA from 1 species
CUACAGAGGGAGGUUCUCAGUGAUCAUUCUCCUGGGAGCAAAGAUGGGAGAAUUUUUGCAAAGAUGACCUUGGCAUUAUUUAGACAUUCAGGUAUGCACACAAUUGUGUGUGGGUGGGAGAUGGAGGGGAAGGGAGUGAGAACUCAGUGAAGAAUGGAGGAUGGUCCUUAUUUUGUUUCCUUUUGUGCUGUGACUCCCCAAGCCAGUAACCUGACUGUCUCUAAGUCAUCUUUUAUCUUCAAGGCUCUGAGGGCAACAAGAGUAUUUGAAAUUCAUGCACAUGAGAGUUGGAAAGGAACCCAUAUACAAUUAGCACAGCAUUAGAAGCUGUGGUACUCUGUAAGCAAUUGCCGCAUAUAGUACAAUAGCACUUUGAUCAUAGCUCAGUUUCAUUGACUUAUUCUGCAAAGGUUCAAUGAGUAGGCGGCUCUAGAGAAACAGGAAAUAUUUCAUCUAAAAAUCAGUUGAGUCAAGUUGUGGGCAUGGGUACAGACUCCCCAUGUUUAAUUGCAACAACUUCUGAAAAAGAAAAUUUUUCAAAAAGGAGAAGGGGGCAACUCUGCUUUAUUUUAGGCUCAAGCAAAGGCCAGUCAUUUUUUUUUUUAAGUAAAUAAAUGUUUAAUUUUAGCAUAAUCUUAUUUUUUUUGUCUUUUUGUCUUUGUAGGGAAUUUUAGCAUAAUUUUAGAUUUAGAAAAACCUUAAAGGUAAUCCAGAGAAUUCUCAUAUGUCCAGUUUCCCUAAUUCUUAACAUUUCACAUUAGUAAUGGUAUUUUUAAUACCUCUAAAAUAUGUGUUUAAAAAAAUUCAACUUCUCUGACAUCGAUGGCAUCUUGCAUUUGUCAAGGUAUGGUAGCUUAAGUCCAAGUAAGGAUUCCAUUUUCCCCACCAGUGAUUGUUUCUGCCCAAUGGAUUAGGAAGGGAAGCUUUCUGGGGGCCCCGACAGAUGCUUCCCCACUCCUAGUAAGGGGCUCAAGAAAGAUACUCCCCCCUUUUGGCUUAAGGACAUAUGUGAAUUGCCAUCACUAUCUUGUGAUAAUAGGGAAAUAACCCUGGAAAACAGAAUCAACAUGCUGAGCAUGGUAGAGUGGCAAUACGGGAAGAAUCUGGGGUUUUAAUGGUGCUGUUGACUCAUCAACAGUGGAAUCAGCCUUUCUCUGGACGUCUUGAUAUGUGUCCAAUAAAUCUCAGUUUAAAAAAUUGAGUUGCUUGCAACCAAAGCCAUCCCAAGAGUUGUAAAGGUAACAGUGAAAUAAACACAUCUUCAGAAAGUCCAUUAAGUGGUGUUAUGGAAAGGGCACUGGGACAGGAGUUAGGGGAGGUGGGUGUCAGCUUGCACAGCUGCCAACAGAUACUGGAUAUUGAUCAAGUGACUAACUCUCUGGGCUGUGGUUUUCUCAUUUCUAACAUAAAGGAUUUCAAAGGCCUCUACCAGUUCUAAAAUACUUGUUUUUUGAGUGUCUCUAGACCAAAAUCUUCUGUUAUAUUUUAGUAAGAGGGGGAGCUCACAGUGGUAAAUACCUGGCUGAAUUUCUUCAGUAGAUAAUUUCUUGACUACCAGUCCAGUGUGCUUUUUUAUUUAUGACUCCUGAUGAAGACAUUUAUUAGAACAUAUAUGAUUCACACAAGGGUGUGAAUUAUUUCAAGAUUGUACUGGUUGGGGUCCUUUGGUUGAAAGAGUCAGAAACUGAACUCAAAAUAAUUCAAGCCAAUAUAUUGGUUUCCAUGGUUGGUGGUCCUGGGAUUAAUUUGGCUUCACAGGCUAGUUCUGAGAGCUCAAACAAAGCUUCUUGCUCUCUCUCUUCUUCCCUCUAUCUUUUUUUUUUUUUUUUUUUUUUUUUUUUUUUUCUGAAGCCAGUACAUUCUUUUUUUUUAGGGCUGUCCCCACAGCACAUGGAAGUUCCCAGGCUAGGGGUCAAAUCAGAGCUGCAGCUGUAGGCCUACACUACAGCUACAGCAACGUGCAACCUACACCACAGCUCAUGGCAACGCUGGAUCCUUGACCCACUGAGCAAGGCCAGGACUGGACCUGUGUCCUCAUGGAUACUAGCUGGAUUCGUAACUCCCUGAGCCACAAGGGAACUUCCUGCCAGUUGCAUUCUUAAUUAAGGUCCCUCCGCAUAGUGGGGAACCACAGACUUAUAUUGUCCUCGCAGGUCACGAUCUUGGAGAAAUCACCUUCCUUGUAGGGGACCCAUGUUGUCUGCUCAACAAACUUUCAGAAGAAUUACACCUCUUCUAAUCCAUACAAUGGGAACAGGGUGGGCGGAGGCAACUGCCUCUCCUGCCAUAGAAGGGUGAGAUGCAUUAUCAAGCUGGCCAGUCAGUCUGUUCUACAUAAAUAAUAUAAAUCAAUUCAUUAGAAGGUACUUGUGAGAUAGGCUUUGACAUUUCUGCUUUGACAGUUUUGAAAUGUAUCAGAAUAAUUUUCCAUUUGAUGAGGUUUUUUUCACUACCUCAGAGCUCAAGUCACUGCUAAUGACACCAAUGAUUUUGAGUAGCUCCUGUGGUGGUUUAGAAGCAGAGGCUCUCAAACCUGAGCUGAUGUCAGAAUCACCAGGAGAACUUGUUAAAACACAGACUGCUGGUCCCCUCCUCCAGGGUUUCCAAGUCAGUAGGUCCAGGAUGGAGCCUGAGAAUCUGCAUUUCUAACAAGUUCCCAGGGACCCCACUUUGAGAAUCACUGCCCUAGAACAUUCAUGGGGCUUCUUACACAUAUACCACUUAGACAUACACAUCAUUAUUACAUAAGAGAAAUCUUAUAAAUUCAAGGUAUUGUGUUUAUUGCUAUGUUACAAAGAAAGAAUAAUUUUGUUUCUUCUUGUAGACAUAGCAUAACAUUUAGGGUAUACUAGGUGCCAUUUUGGAAUUGGGCUUUUGAGAGAGACAGUUGAUUUGAACGUAUCAAAGCACAUACCUGCAAAUCCUUCAAUGUGCACAGAAAUCACCUGAGGAACUUAUUAAAACAGAGAUUCUCAAUUAGGAUUUCUGGGACAGUGCUUGAGAGUUUGUGCUUCUGGCAGGCUGCCUGUAGCAAAGCUAGCCCACAUAAACAAGGCUAGCCCAUAUAAAUUCCCGGGAAACAAAAGGUUUUCUGCGUCUCCAGUCCCAACCCUGAAACAGAUGCCUGUUGGUGAAAAGAUGGCUUUCUCAUAGUGAAUUAAUGGAUGAUUUGGAAGGGGGCCAUCGCCUUCUUGCACUGUACACUUCUUGAGGGCUGGCCUCAAGAAACACAUUUCAGCCUUUCUUUAUAGCAAUUUCGUUUGGAUUCCCCAACUUUUAGUUUAGGUAGAAUCUCACUGUGACACUUUUAUAAUUUAGGUUGAAAUUCUAAUCUUCCAAACACUUAGUGAUUAAAGGACCUAGAUGCUGUGAAUAAUGCAUUCAAAUUCUCUGUGUGACUGUUUGCCUUGUACACAUGUCCAAAUGGCCUUAUUUUUUAAUUUGCGUAGUUCAAGCUGUACAUAAAGCCCUCUUUGCCCUCCAGUGGCCGUGCCCACUACAGCUCUGGCAGCUGCCUCGUCCUCCCCUAUCCCUGCUCUUUUUUUUUUUUUUUUCACUCAUUUAUUUCAAGAACUUCUGGUUUUGGUUACUAUCUCCAAAGGGUAAAAUAGCUGGAUUUCUUUAAGCAGUAGCAUUUAUACAAUCUGGGAGAAUUGAAUUUUCAAUCAAAUCCUUACUUCCUCACUCAGUGACCCACUAUGGCUCCCUAAUGCUGCCAUAUCAAAUCUCUAUUCCUCUGCCUGCAUUUUAAAAGCAAAAAUUUCUGGUGACCUGACAUCAAGCAGGCUAUGGAUUUUUCAAGCAUUUUUGUCUAAUAGCGACCAGGACCUAUAGUAUCAAACUAGCAAUCAAAUAGCCAGUUGCCAGCCUAGUUCAGUGUUCCUCUUGAAUUAAAAGCUGCAAAAUUUAAGACAGGGGCUCAAGGGGAGUUCAUUGUCACAGAGACAAAGCUGGCCAUCCUUUCUUGAAAAAAAAUCUUUGACUGUUUUAUUUUAGUAAUAUAAAAAAAAAAACAGGCCAAAUUCUUCAAUCAGUUUCCUUGAGUGAGUGAAAAUGUUCCACUUCAACAUAACAAGGAUGCAUCUUUAACUAAACGAGUGGGAGUUGCACAAAGGCAAAUGAAACUCUAGUAUAUCUGCGCUGUGAUUGUCAACAUCUAUGAAUAUUCAGUUCAAUGCUGAAUUCUGUUUAACGUUGAAUCACUUCAGGAAAUCCAAACUCUCAUUACACAUGGGUGAGUGUGUUUCCUUAAGGAGGUACAGUACUUGGCAUCUCCUAGAUGCGUGUGAAUCACCACUUCGUCUGGCUGCUAUACAAGUACGCAUUGUUUUUUUGAAUAAGAGGGUAAAAAGUCACAUAAAACACUGCAUGCUACAAAUGGCUGGGGAAUAAUUUGACUUGCCUUGGUGCAACUUAAUUUACACAUUGGACUUCAAGAAAAAAAAAAAAAGAACAACUCUUCCAUAAAUACUGCUUAGUCUGGGCACAUAAACCAUGAAUGGCUUUGAUUAUUUUUUUUUCAUUGAAUUCUUCUUGCCUUUUUUGGGGAUUAUACUGUUUUUAAGAUAAAACUACUCAAAGACAGGGAGAAAAUUAAAUAGAAUGAACAUAGGGUAAGAGGGGCUUGCAGUAGGCAAAAUAGAACAGAAAGACAACAUAAAUUUUUCUCAGAUUUCUAAAACAUAACCAUGUAUUUCUGACACUAUGAAUAUAGCAUACUUCCUUCUUUAUAGGACUGAAUUUUUCUGACACUAUGAAUAUAGAAUACUUCCUUCUUUAUAGGACUGAAUUUUUUCCCCCAAAAUGUCUGAUUUUUAGUCAUAUUUAAGGUUUGACAUAUUUUUUCCAGAAAAUAAAUAUAAUGAACUUGUCUUUUAGCUCAGACAACACCCAGGGGAUAUUGCUUUAAAUGGGAUGUUCAUGUUGAUUUUGCAAAUUAUGCUUAUUCUAUACGAGGUCACCAUCUCUGAAGUUUUGUAUACAUGAAGAUGUUUAGAUAAAUACUGUAUGCAGAGAUAUUUAUUUGAGCGUUUGUAUUAGUAAAGGGAAAAUUAGACUAUAACUAGAAUAUUAUCUUGAUAUUUCCAAACACCUUGGAAAACCAUGACUCAAAAAGAAGCAUGUACUCCAAAGUUCACUGCAGCACUAUUUACAAUAGCUAAGACAUGGAAACAACCUAAAUGUCCAUAGGAGUGGAUAAAGAAGAUGUGGUACAUACACACAGUGGAAUAGUCUCCAUCAUUAAAAGGAAAGAAAUAAUGGCAUUUACAGCAACAUGAAUGGACCUAGAAAUUAUCAUGCUAAGUGAAGUUAGUCAGACAGUGAGACACCAACAUCAUAUGCUAUCACUUACAUGCAGAAUCUAAAAAAUGGACCCAGUGGAGUUCCCAUUCUGGUGCAGCAGAAAUGAAUCCAACCAGGAACCAUAAGGUUGCAGGUUCAAUCCCUGGCCUCGCUUGGUGGGUUAAGCAUCUGGUGUUGCCAUGAGCUGUGGUGUAGGCUGCAGAUGUGGCUCAGAUCUAGCGUUGCUGUGGCUGUGGUGUAGGCCAGCAGCUGCAGCUCCAACUGGACCCCUAGCCUGGGAACCUCCCUAUGCCACAGGUGCAGCCCUAACAAGCAAAAAAUAAAAUUAAAUUAAAUUAAAAUUAAAAAAUAAAAAAAGGACCCAGUAAACUUUUUUGCAGAACAGAUACUGACUCAAAGACUUUGAAAAACAUGGUUUCCAAAGGAGGUGGGUUGGGGUGGGGGGAUGGGCUGGGGGUUUGGGAUGGAAAUGCUAUAAAAUUUGGUUGUGAUAAUCAUUGUACAACUAUAAAUAUAAUAAAAUUCACUGAGUAA